UAGGGAAGACAAAUGAAAGACUUAGCAACUAUCACCACUAGUAGGUAUUAUUGUGAUUAAUAGUACACAGGAGAAGUCCUAGGUACUAUGAAACUUAAAAUUAUAGUGACUAAUAUACUUACUGCAUUUAAUCACUUGAUGCAAAAAUCAUCAAGACUGCUGCAUAAUUUUUUUUCUUUUUUUUUUUUUCCUGGUAUUGGGAAUUGAACCCAGGAGUACUUUACCACUGAACUAUGUUCCUAUUCCUUUUUAUUUUUAUUUUUGAGAUAGAGUCUUUCCAAGUUGCCCAGGCUAGAUUUUUAGAGAGAGGAUAGGAGGACAAUCCCCACAGGCCUGCUGUGCAUAUUGACUUAAGAAGGAUGAGUAGGUGCUGGAAGAGCCUCCUGGUCAUUAGAAACAAUGAGUAUGAAGAUCCCAAGACAAAAGGGAGCAUGGAGUAUUCAAAGAACUGAAAGGCCAGUGUGGCAUGAGCUAGAACAUGACAAGGAGAGUGACCUGCCUGGAAGGACAAGUGGGAUAGAUUUUGCAGAAUCACCUUAUGGAUUUGAGUCUUUAGCUUAAGAGCCACAGGAAGCCACUGAAUAAUUUAUACCAGGGAGUGAUGUGCUACUGAGAACACAGUUGGGAGGUGGACUAAAGGAAGCAUUUAAUUGGAUGUGGAUAUGAGAGAAAGGAGUUAUUCCUCAGGAGUCUCCAGUCUGUAUGUGGUGGGACCACUCACUAUGCAGAGGAACGCUGAGAAAGGAGCAGCUUCAGGGGGAAGUCAGACAUUUAGUUUCAGACAUGCACAUUAAAUGUGAGGAAGGUCUGCGUGGAGUGGUCAGAGUAGUUUAUGUAAGGAUCAGGACGUCAGGAGGAAGCCUGGGCUACAGGUAUACAUUUGGGUGUCGUCAGUUGGGAUGAUAAAUAAAGCUAGAAGACUUUAAUGAGGCUGCACAGAAAGACUGCAGUUCCCUGUCUAACUCUUGUAAUUCUUCAAGUUCUAACUUGGUCAUCACCUCUGCAACCUUACCUGACACCUAAAUAAGUAAUUUAUCCUUUCUGUUAUUUAUCUGCUUUACAUUUGUUCUCUCUUAUGUUAUUUGCUUUUCUCGUCUCAGUUGGAUGUGAGCCUUUAAAAGUGAGGUGUGUUAUGUGUGCCCAGUUUCUGGUUUAGU
rnacentral:lncRNA from 1 species